rnacentral:rRNA from 1 species
GACGAACGCUGGCGGCGUGCCUAAUACAUGCAAGUCGAACGCUUUUUCUUUCACCGGAGCUUGCUCCAUCGAAAGAAAAAGAGUGGCGAACGGGUGAGUAACACGUGGGUAACCUGCCCAUCAGAAGGGGAUAACACUUGGAAACAGGUGCUAAUACCGUAUAACACUAUUUUCCGCAUGGAAGAAAGUUGAAAGGCGCUUUUGCGUCACUGAUGGAUGGACCCGCGGUGCAUUAGCUAGUCGGUGAGGUAACGGCUCACCAAGGCAACGAUGCAUAGCCGACCUGAGAGGGUGAUCGGCCACACUGGGACUGAGACACGGCCCAGACUCCUACGGGAGGCAGCAGUAGGGAAUCUUCGGCAAUGGACGAAAGUCUGACCGAGCAACGCCGCGUGAGUGAAGAAGGUUUUCGGAUCGUAAAACUCUGUUGUUAGAGGAGAACAAGGAUGAGAGUAAAAUGUUCAUCCCUUGACGGUAUCUAACCAGAAAGCCACGGCUAACUACGUGCCAGCAGCCGCGGUAA